rnacentral:rRNA from 1 species
AUUGAACGCUGGCGGCAGGCCUAACACAUGCAAGUCGAACGAGUGGCGGACUGGUGAGUAAUGUCUGGGAAACUGCCCGAUGGAGGGGGAUAACUACUGGAAACGGUAGCUAAUACCGCAUACCAUCGGAUGUUCCCAGAUGUGAUUAGCUAGUAGGUGGGGUAACGGCUCACCUAGGCGACGAUCCCUAGCUGGUCUGAGAGGAUGACCGGCAACACUGGAACUGAGAAACGGUCCAGAGUCCUAGGGGAGGCAGAAGUGGGGAAUAUGGCACAAGGGGCGCAAGCAGGAUGCAGCCAUGCCGCGUGUAUGAAGAAGGCCUUCGGGUUGUAAAGUACUUUCAGCGAGGAGGCGGGAGGCGAAGAAGAAGCACCGGCUAACUCCGUGCCAGCCGAAGCGGUAAUAG